rnacentral:lncRNA from 1 species
UAUUUCCAUCAGAUGUGUUUCUCAAGCACUCUGCCACUCCUUUCUACCUCUCCUGCGUUUGAUCUGAGGACGGCCCGUUCCACAGGAACACAAAGGCACAGAAGAUGAAGUAACUUGCCCACGGCCACACGGUUGGAUCAGAAUCAUGAGCCGAAGAAAGCUUUUUUCUUGGCACCAUGAAGGCUGAACAAAGGAUAUCUGGGGGCAAAAUCUGACCCAUGGGCUGCCCAUUGCCACCUCUGGGCAGCCCUCCUUGAUGGUGUGGAGUCCGCGGUCCGCAUUGGUUAACUUAACUGUGCUUCCUCAGAUCCAGUCUGGAAUUAAUUAUUGAAUUGUAUGCAUUUUCAAUGCCAUCCUCAAGCUAACAGCCAACUAUGCGGGGGAAUAAAACGGAGCAGAGAACCGAGUUGGGUUCCAGAGACCCCAGAUUGUCUUCAUUUGCAGUUGCCAGGUUCCCUGCAGCCCGGGUCUGUGGAUUUCCCGCGGCUCAG